ensembl:lncRNA
GGGGUCACCUGGGAGAGAGAGACUGCAUCUGCUUAGAUUUCUCUCUUUGUAAUCAGAGACAUGCGUGUAUUCUCUCUGGGAAGACAAGCAGUUUGUGGAAGAGAGUGGAAGAAGGAAGUACAGACUGAACUGGGGUCUUGAAUCAACACAUCCAACCCUGAUGUUCACCAGAAGUUCAUGAUAAUGUGGACCCAGAUUAUAAAAGACUGACCUGCAUUUAAAGGGUUACAUAAGGGUACAAAAGGUCAUGUGAAGAGCUUUUGAGUAUUAAAGAGGAUGGAAUGUCCAACUCAAGGAUGAAGUGUCUUGUUCAAACUGUGUCCAGGAGAGGACGAUGUAUGCUACAAGGUAUGAGAGUACGGCAAUGAAAACUUGAUGACAGUUUGGAAAUGAGAUAUUAUGAGGCAGGAUUCCGGCUUUCACCUUUC